UACGUAGGGUGCAAGCGUUGUCCGGAAUUAUUGGGCGUAAAGAGCUCGUAGGCGGUCUGUCGCGUCGGCUGUGAAAACCUGGGGCUUAACUCCGGGCCUGCAGCCGAUACGGGCAGACUAGAGUUCGGCAGGGGAGACUGGAAUUCCUGGUGUAGCGGUGAAAUGCGCAGAUAUCAGGAGGAACACCGGUGGCGAAGGCGGGUCUCUGGGCCGAUACUGACGCUGAGGAGCGAAAAGCGUGGGGGAGCAAACAGG
rnacentral:rRNA from 1 species